GUGGGGAAUCUUCCGCAAUGGGCGAAAGCCUGACGGAGCAACGCCGCGUGAAUGAAGAAGGCCUUCGGGUCGUAAAGUUCUGUCUUUAGGGACGAAUGGGUAUGCGCAAAUAGUGUAUGCUUUGACGGUACCUUAGGAGGAAGCUCCGGCUAACUACGUGCCAGCAGCCGCGGUAAUACGUAGGGAGCAAGCGUUGUCCGGAAUUACUGGGCGUAAAGGGCGCGUAGGCGGGAAUGCAAGUCAGAUGUGAAAACUCCGGGCUCAACCUGGAGACUGCACUUUAAACUGGAUUUCUUGAGGGCAGGAGAGGAAAGUGGAAUUCCUAGUGUAGCGGUGAAAUGCGUAGAUAUUAGGAGGAACACCAGUGGCGAAGGCGACUUUCUGGACUGUACCUGACGCUGAGGCGCGAAAGCGUGGGGAGCGAACAGGAUUAGAAACCCGGGUAGUCC
rnacentral:rRNA from 1 species